GUUAGGAAUAUUGGACAAUGGGCGCAAGCCUGAUCCAGCCAUGCCGCGUGAGUGAUGAAGGCCUUCGGGUUGUAAAGCUCUUUAGCCGAUGAUUAUAAUGACUGUAGUCGGAAAAUAAGCCCCGGCUAACUUCGUGCCAGCAGCCGCGGUAAUACGAAGGGGGCGAGCGUUAUUCGGAAUCACUGGGCGUAAAGCGUGCGUAGGCGGCUUUGCAAGUUGGGAGUGAGAGCCCAGGGCUCAACCCUGGAAUUGCUCUCAAAACAGCAAGGCUCGAAUUCGGGAGAGGAUAGCGGAAUUGUCAGUGUAGCAGUGAAAUGCGUAGAUAUUGACAGGAACACCAGUGGCGUAAGCGGCUAUCUGGACCGAUAUUGACGCUGAGGCACGAAAGCGUGGGGAUCAAACAGGAUUAGAAACCCGUGUAGUCC
rnacentral:rRNA from 1 species